CUUCUCUUGUCUAGACAGAAUGGAAAGCCCCUGAUAUUGCAGAAUCUCAUUCAUCACCAUGAUCUGAAGUACUCAGAGCAGACAAUAUUAUGCACACAAAAGAAGUAGGAAGACUGCAAACUCCUUUAAAAGAAACAAGCCUGGAACCAUGGACCCAGCCCCAGUCCUCAGUUGCCAUGAAAAUAUUACCUUUUGGGAGCCUGUCAACACAAUAUCUUUAUGGAUGGAUUUGGACCAGCAAUCAGAUAUUUCACAGGUUUGUUUUUCAUUAUCUGCAGGUGCCAUCUCUUGAAUAACUUGGCUUCAAUGUAGGAUCAAAAGAAGAGUGAUUUCAAGAAAAAUACUUUUUAUGUAAAGACUUUGGGCUUGUCAUAGGUUGUAAAUUUGGUUAUACUGCUAAACUUUGCCAGAUUUUACUUGCUGGUUUGUGCAAUUCCUUGGUGGUGAGCAAAGUAGUUGCUUAGCUAUUGCUUAAACCAUUAGUUCCAUAAUUUUUACUCUGAGGAAGAAAGAGCUUGGCCUUUCCUCCUUCUACCCCUUUCCCUUUUUAACUAUUCCUUGAGUUUUUAGCUCUGCCUAAGUAACAAUCAAGGGCAUUCUCUUAAAUUUAAAUCUUCAUUCUUCAUUUAUAAAGUUAUUAAUGUUCCUUUUCAAGGUCAAGUAUGUUCUGC
rnacentral:lncRNA from 1 species